GUCUUUUUGAAAGUAAAAAAAGUCAAGCCUGCCCGCUGAUGAAUUUUAAGGGCCGCGGUAUUUUGACCGUGCGAAGGUAGCGUAAUCAUUAGUUUUUUAAUUGGAAUCUUGUAUGAAUGGUUAGACAAGAGAAACUCUGUCUCUUUAUUAAAAAUUGAAUUUAACUUUUAAGUGAAAAGGCUUAAAUUAGUUAAAGGGACGAUAAGACCCUAUAAAGCUUUAAUAUAGAAUGCCAUUUGGUUGAAUUUUUUAUAAAAGUUUCGUGGCAUAGUUUAUUUUAUUGGGGCGAUAAGAGUAAAAUGAUUUUUAACUGCUUGAAUUUAGAUACAUAAAUUAUUGUAAUAGAUAAGUAAGAGAUCCUUGAUAAAGAUUAUAAGUUUAAGUUACUUUAGGGAUAACAGCGUUAUUCUUUUUGAGAGUACAUAUCGAAAAAAGAGUUUGCGACCUCGAUGUUGAAUUAAAAUUUCUUUAUAGAAGCAGAAACUAUAAAAGUUGGUCUGUUCGACCUUUAAAAUUUUACAUGAUUUGAGUUCAAACCGGCGUGAG
rnacentral:rRNA from 1 species